UAUUCUAUCUUCUUCCUCACCCAAUCGGGAGAGGAGGCACUGACCAUCUCCACCUUCUUCCUCUCCCGAUUGGGAGCGGAAGCGCCACCUUGGGAACUCUCCAAUCCGAGGCUCUUCCAUUCAUCCAUCCUCAUCCACAGCUCUCUAUUCAAUUGGGAGAGAUUUUGACAGCCCACCUUCAUCCACCGACAAGUUUACAUCAGUGAGCUUCAGGAUUCCAAGCUCUUCUGCACUAUACACCCUUCUGAAUCCGUAGGUGGUAGCAUGAUUCAUUUCCGCUGCUCGUCACACGCCAUCCAUUCCGCUCGAGGAGUUAUAGGUUUUACUGUGACUGAAGAAGAGACUACAUCUUCAAUGUUAAUUUUGUUACUAUGAUCCAGUUGCAGGAUAUAAGUAGAGGGAAAGAUAUUGGUUUCAGCAAAGGAAGAUCAAGGGGGAGAGGAUACGGAGAUGAUACUCUCUUAUAAUACAAUGCGGCG